GGGGCGUGCUUGACCUUGCCUUUUAACCACGUGGACUGGAGUCGUCAUGGUGUAUACCAGUGAGUGUACUAACAAACAGUCUCCUCACCCUAGGCUACCCUUCCAGCCUUCCUUCUCUCUGUUUAUAUAUACCAGUAUUCUUAGCCAAAGGUCUGGCUAAUAACCUUUACUUGCUGCAAUAUCCAUUUCACCCUGCCCACAUGCCGGUGAUGGUAGAGGCUAAAAUGAGAAGAGAGCAUUUGGAGAUGAGAAUCAGCUUAAAGACAAGAGCAACAUUACUCACAGAGCUCCAGUCUUGAUACACUAACAGUACUUGGUUCUCAUAAAGGUGAUGUCAUUCGACUAGCUAAUGACAGUUCUUUAAAUACCUCCUUCUCAUUCCAACAAUAAUCUAAUGGCCUCUCUUUAGUCUUCAUGGAGUCCUUCCAGUAUGAUGACACUCUUCCACAAUAUGUUGGGAAGUUGAAAAGACAUCAUUUUUAGUUGGCCACUGCUGUUCACUCUCACUGAGGAUGGGAUUAUGUUGGUCCACAGUGUCUCUAAUGCUAUGAUCAUUGCUGCCAUUCAUCCACUGGAAUACUGUAGAAUGUUUAGCUAUAACACUCCAGAUGGUCCCUCUCUCUUACAAACUCUGUCUUUGUCAUCAUUUCAUAAAAUCUCGGUCUCUCUUGAUCUAGGAGUGUAUCUUAGUUAAUUCAUUGGAUCAAUGUUCCUUCUCACUCAAUGCACUGGAGACUGGAACUGAGACAUGGUGUCAUUCUUCCUUAGGAAUAGAGGUAAAUGAUACUAUUUAUAGUAACACUGAUACUAUUUAUAGUACAAUGCUAUUGAUUGAAACUAUGCUAUUGUAGUAUAUGAUAUAUCAUUGUCUAUUGUA